rnacentral:rRNA from 1 species
AGCAGCAGCCACGGUAAUGCGUAGGGUGCAAGCGUUAAUCGGAAUUACUGGGCGUAAAGCGUGCGCGGGCGGUUUGUUAAGACAGAUGUGAAAUCCCCGGGCUCAACCUGGGAACUGCAUUUGUGACUGGCAAGCUAGAGUGUGGCAGAGGGGGGUGGAAUUCCGCGUGUAGCAGUGAAAUGCGUAGAUAUGCGGAGGAACACCGAUGGCGAAGGCAGCCCCCUGGGCCAACACUGACGCUCAUGCACGAAAGCGUGGGGAGCAAACAGGAUUAGAUACCCCGGUAGUCCCUGUCUCUUAUAC